rnacentral:rRNA from 1 species
AUACGGAGGGUGCAAGCGUUGCUCGGAAUCACUGGGCGUAAAGCGAACGCAGGCGGCCCGGCAAGUCGGGUGUGAAAGCCCGGGGCUCAACCCCGGAAUUGCGCUCGAAACUGCCGGCCUUGAGUACGGGAGAGGGAAGCGGAAUUCCUAGUGUAGAGGUGAAAUUCGUAGAUAUUAGGAGGAACACCCGUGGCGAAAGCGGCUUCCUGGCCCGAUACUGACGCUCAUGUUCGAAAGCGUGGGGAGCAAACAGGAUUAGAAACCCCAGUAGUCC